rfam:Brassica oleracea var. oleracea cultivar TO1000 chromosome C6, whole genome shotgun sequence
GUAAUAUAAUAACCCGUCUCUUAACUUUUAACUACAAAAGCUAAGAACCGGUUUUUUAAGAACCGGUUCUUAGCUUUUGUAGUUAAAAGUUAAGACACAUUUUAUUAUAUUAC